rnacentral:rRNA from 1 species
GGUUUCUUAGAAAUUAUAAGAAAUUUGGCCUGCCCACUGAUGAAUUUAAUGGCCGCAGUAAUUUGACUGUGCAAAGGUAGCAUAAUCAUUAGUCUUUUAAUUGAAGACUGGAAUGAAAGGUCGGACGAGGAAAAAACUGUUUUAUGUAAUUGUUAAAUUGAAUUUGGGAUUUAAGUAAAAAAUCUUAAAUAAUAUUAAGGGACGAGAAGACCCUAUAGAGUUUAAUAAAUUAAUUCAUGGUUAAGUUGUAUAAAAAUUUUUGACUAUUAGUAUAAUUUAUUUGGUUGGGGUGACAAAAGAAUAAAUAAAACUUCUUUUUAAUGUGAAUAUAAAUAAAUAGAGAUAUGAUCCAUUAUUGAAUGAUUGGAAGAUUAAAUUACCUUAGGGAUAACAGCAUAAUACUUUUUGCAAGUUCUUAUUAACAAAAGGGAUUGUGACCUCGAUGUUGGAUUAAGAUAAAUUUUAGGUGUAGAUGUUUUAAAAUUAGGUCUGUUCGACCUUUAAAAUCUUACA